UACGUAGGGUGCAAACGUUGUUCGGAAUCACUGGGCAUAAAGAGCGCGUAGGCGGUCUGACAAGUCCCCUGUGAAAGCCCCCGGCUUAACCGGGGAACUGCAUGGGAUACUGUUGGGCUAGAGUGCAGGAGGGGAGAGCGGAAUCCUGGUGGAGCGGUGAAAUGCGUAGAUAUCAGGAGGAACGCCGGCGGCGAAAGCGACUCUCUGGCCUGUAACUGACGCUGAGGCGCGAAAGCUAGGGGAGCAAACGGG
rnacentral:rRNA from 1 species